rnacentral:lncRNA from 1 species
CUCUUCCUGUGUGGAAGCUGGGAUUCCAAUGGCAGGCAGGAAAUCUUGUAGUAGGUGAUCGUGGCCUUCCUUGGGAUCCCUGUUUCCCCCUUUUAUUCCCUUUUCACCCAGUAAAACCCUGCUUUGCUCACUCUUUAAAGCAUCUGUGAGCGUAAAUUUUUGUGGCCAUGGGAUGGACAAGAACCACAUGUUUACCUGAAGUCCUGUGACAUUUUGGUGUGCAGCAUGGGAGCUCCAAAAGUGAGUCAAGUGAACUUAUUUUGAAUGGUUUAUGGCCUUUAAUAAUUACAUAAGUUAUAUACUCCUGUGAUCAAAAUUUGGAGCAUGUUUGUUUCUCUCUGCCUGGUUCCUCCAGAAUUUAGAACCUAUCUACAUUCUUUCAGAUGCCAGAGGAUGCUAUAGAAAAAUGCGUGCCCUCUUGUAAUACUUUGUUCAAGUUCUGAUCAGAAGGAUGAAUGAUGGAGCCCAAGAAGCCAGAGUCUCAUUGUGUUGCUCAGGCUGGAAUCCAGUGGCAUGAUCUCGGCUCAGUGCAACCUCCGCCUCCUGGGUUCAAGCAGUUCUCCUAGAUCAGCAUCAGCGUCCCGAGUAGCUGGGAUUACAGGCACCCGCCACCAUGCCUGGCUAAUGUUGGUCAGGCUGGCUCGAACUCCUGACCUCAAGAGAUCCACCUGCUUUGGCCUCCCAAAGUGCUCGGAUUACAGGCAUGAGCUGCCACACCCAGCCUCCAAAUACUUUUUUUUUAAAUCAAAAUAAUGAUUUCAAUGACUGAGAUCUGUUAUGUAUUUCAACAUAAUCAUGUUUCAUAAAGAUUUAGUCUUCUGAAA